rnacentral:piRNA from 1 species
UGAAACUUACCUCUUCGCUUGGGUGU